rnacentral:rRNA from 1 species
GGGUUUCCAUAGAUAACGGCUAUUCCGUCAAUUUCCUUGAAGUAUCUUUCACAGAAAUCUAUACAUAUUCCCAUAUGUUCACCAGUGCCCGUCCCAAUAAUAUCGAUAGGAUUUGAUACGGCAGCUCCCGGUAGUAAUUGUUUUUUUAGUUCUGCCGCUAAUUCCUUAUUCAUCUCGGGAACAUUGAUAUUUCCUUUCGAUAGAGCAUCCGUUAAUAUCACAGCCGGUCCUCCAGCUUGUGUGAUAAUAGCCAGAUUUUUGCCUUUCAGUUCUUUUAAUGAUAAUACGGCACCUACAUUUGCUAAUUCCUCACGAGAAUAACAACGGAUAAUUCCGGCUUUUCUGAACAAAGCUUCUACUGCCGAGUCUGAACUUGCAAUAGCUCCUGUAUGAGAUGACGCAGCUCGGCUACCCGAUUCUGAAGUUCCCGAUUUAAUCGCUGCUAUUUUACAACCUUUUUUUAUUAACGAUGCUGAAUAUUGUAAAAACCGAUCAGGAUCAGCUAUUUUUUCCAGAUAUAAUAAUUUAAUCUUCGAGCUUUUUUUAGAGUCGAAUUCUUCAUCCAUAUACUCCAAAAUAUCCUCGAUUCCUAUUUGAGCAGCAUUUCCGAUAGACCAAGCAGAAUUAAAUCUCAAUCCUAUUCGCAUUGCAGAUUCUAUAAUAUAUGUAAUUGUUCCUCCCGAGCUGGAGAUUAUAUCGACGCCUUGUGAAUUUAAUUUAGGUACAGGCCUGGUGAAAAUGCUUUGAUGCAUUGUAUUGAAAAAACCUGAACAGUUUGGGCCUAUCAUUACCGCUCCUGCUUCAUUGACGAUGUCAACCAGUUGUUUUUCCAUUUCAGCCCCUUCUUCCGACUCCUCACUGAAUCCAGCCGAAAAAACGAUGAAAGCUUUUACGUUUUUCUCUUUGGCUAAAUAUUCUACAGUAUUCUGACAUUGCACCGCAGGUAUAGAUAUAAUUGCAAGAUCUGUUUGAGGGAUUUCCUCAAUACUUUUAUACGCUUUUACUCCCUGUAUUGUACCUCCUCGUGCAUUCACAACAUAUAGAUCCUUAUUAAAAGAACCAUUGAUAAUAUUAUGUAAUGCACUACCUCCAGGUUUCAAAAUGUUAUCAGAAGCUCCUACUACUACAAUGCUUUUAGGGUUUAUGAGUUGUUUAUAUUCCAUAUUUUAAUGGUUUAUGUGUUAUUUUGUAUAAAAGUAGCGGAUUUAAUGAUAUGAGAAGAAUAAUUUUUUAUAAUAUAUAACAUAAAAAUUAAUACAAGGGAUUUCUUUUUAUUAUUGAUGCAGGUUUUGCAAGAAUUUCUCUCUGGAUAAUUUUUAUUUUCGUUAUUUUUUUAUGUUUGACAACAUCUUUUCUUUUAGGAUGUUAGUUGAUAUCUUUGUUGCUUGGUGAAAAAAUAUUUGAAAUUAUUUCAUCAUUUUAUUUGGAAUGUAAUAAAAAGUUAUUUACUUUUGCACCCGCUUUGGUAGAGAACGCGGCGCUAAAAUGGGGAGUUAUAAAGAUAACAACUNAUAUUGGAAAAUCCGUAUGUUUUGCCGAUCUAUGAUAGUACCAUAAACCUUCGGGGGAGUGGAUAGUGCAGGUAAGAGCUUCCAAGAAAAGCCUCUAAGCUUCAGAUGAAAGAAAACCGUACCAAAACCGACACAGGUAGUUGAGGAGAGAAUCCUAAGGUGCUCGAGUGAUUCACGGCUAAGGAACUAGGCAAAAUGAACCUGUAACUUCGGGAGAAAGGUAGCCUUCCUUUAGGAAGGCCGCAGAGAAGAGAUCCAGGCGACUGUUUAUCAAAAACAUAGGACUCUGCUAAAUUGAAAAAUGAUGUAUAGGGUCUGACACCUGCCCAGUACUGGAAGGUUAAAGAAAAAAGUCAGCUUAGGCAAAGCUUUUGACUGAAGCCCCAGUAAACGGCGGCCGUAACUAUAACGGUCCUAAGGUAGCGAAAUUCCUUGUCGGGUAAGUUCCGACCUGCACGAAUGGUGUAACGAUCUGGAAACUGUCUCAGCCGUGAGCUCGGUGAAAUUGUAAUAUCGGUGAAGAUGCCGAUUACUCGCAAUGGGACGAAAAGACCCUGUGAACCUUUACUAUAGCUUCGUAUUGAUUUCGAUUAAAAAAUGUGUAGGAUAGGUGGGAAACUUUGAAGCGUUGUCGUCAGGCAAUGUGGAGUUGUCCUUGAAAUACCACCCUUUUUUUAGUUGAAAUCUAACUCAAUUCAAUAAAAAUUGAGGACAUUGCGUGGUGGGUAGUUUGACUGGGGUGGUCGCCUCCAAAAAGGUAACGGAGGCUCCCAAAGGUACCCUCAACACGUUUGGUAAUCGUGUGUAGAGUGUAAUGGCAUAAGGGUGCUUGACUGUGAGACUUACAAGUCGAUCAGGUACGAAAGUAGGGCAUAGUGAUCCGGUGGUUCCGCAUGGAAGGGCCAUCGCUCAAAGGAUAAAAGGUACUCCGGGGAUAACAGGCUAGUCUCCCCCAAGAGCUCACAUCGACGGGGAGGUUCGGCACCUCGAUGUCGGCUCGUCACAUCCUGGGGCUGGAGAAGGUCCCAAGGGUUGGGCUGUUCGCCCAUUAAAGUGGCACGCGAGCUGGGUUCAGAACGUCGUGAGACAGUUCGGUCUCUAUCUAUCGUGGGCGCAGGAUAUUUGCGGAGAUCUGACACUAGUACGAGAGGACCGUGUUGGACAGACCACUGGUUUACCGGUUGUUUCGCCAGGAGCAUCGCCGGGUAGCUAAGUCUGGAUCGGAUAAGUGCUGAAAGCAUCUAAGUACGAAGCCGGCUUCAAGAUAAGAUAUCCAUUAAGGGUGGUUGUAGACUACGACCUAGAUAGGCUACAGGUGUAAAGGCAGUAAUGUCAUAGCCGAGUAGUACUAAUUGCCCGGACGCUUUCAAG